rnacentral:rRNA from 1 species
GGUAAAGCCGGGGACGCUGCGGCGGUAAGACUGAGGGUGGAAGGGUGUACCGGAAUAACUGGGGUUAAAGGGUGCGGAGGAGUCAUAAUAAGUCAGAGGUGAAAGCUUGCGGCUCAACCGUAAAAUUGCCUUUGAGACUGUUAUGCUUGAAUCAGGUUGAGGUAGGCAGAAUGUGGCAUGUAGCGGUGAAAUGCAUAGAUAUGCCAUAGAAUACCAAUUGCGAAGGAAGCCUGCUGGACCUGUAUUGACGCUGAGGCACGAAAGCGUGGGGAUCAAACAGGAUUAGAUACCCCGGUAGUC